GGUCUCUCUCUCUCUUCACUAGAAAGCGUACACGCUAUGUUCCACAUGUCUUCAAAAAGUCACCUCCUGAUCUUCACUGACUUACAGAUUUUGGGCUCUUCCAUGUACGUUUCCACAAGUUUGGGGUUCCCAGAAAAUUUCCUCUCUCCUCUUCCACAAAUUUGUACUUUCAGUUUUGUUGAUAGCGCAACGGAGAAACAAUGAUGCCCUUAAUUAUGCUUGGUGCCUUACAACCUGACGAGUGGCUGAGAGCUUCAUGUGUCCAAUUCCAGCACUGGUGCAGGAUUGAGUUCAAACUGGAAGACUAUUUGUCACCUAAGGCUGCCUUUGGAGGCGAGACUUCAGCCUCCCAAAUGUUUGCGUGACUGAGAAUUUGUGAAGAAGAAACCGCAAGCUUAAAAGAAGGUCCAAACAUAUUUUGCUGCUGUAACUGUUGUCGUUGUUGAUACACGAACACAUUUUCAUUGAGCAAGGAAUCCAGAAAUGAUGAGAAAGUGUCCUCAUUUCCAAUAUCUUCAAUGAAAUCAUCUUCAUUUUUUCGUCCA